UUACUGUUUGUGAAAAACUCCAGAACAACAGAAGGACACACUGAUGUUUCUCACUCUCCUUUUUUGUAACACACUGAAACCAAUGGGGUUUUUACCCAUGUUUUCUUCAAGUUAAAGGUUCAGUUAUUAAAGCAAAGAUCAGCAGAGUUUACCCAGAGUUCCUCUCCAUUUGGCAGAUAUGCAUUCUCUCCUCUCUCCCACUUCCACAAGUUUUACAACAGUAUUGCUUGUUGUGGAACGAAUUAAAUUCUUAAACACAAGUCAGAUUCAACGUAUUGCUUUGCAAACAAACCUUCACCUUUCUUUUUUUUAAAAGGAGAGCAACAUAUAGCAGAAAUGUUGACUAUUUUCACCUUUUCUAAGUCUGAUCAGGCUAGAGAAUACGGUCUUGUAAGGUCAUGAAAAGUGUCAACGCAGACCGGGCAAUGCUGACUUCCUGGACUCCUAUCAUAUCCCUCAGUUGAACCGUUGACUAAAGAGACUCAGAACUUUCAUCUUCUGGCCAUGUCUCAAGCUUCGGGCCGUGUGAUCCUUAGAUGGUCCUCGAACCAUUACAUUUUCCUUUCCUCCACAGAAACUAUCCUUGCACCUUGAGGGUUGAAGCCAGUGCUUCAUAUAUGGAUGGGCGGCAAGAAUGCAGGCAGUUGUGACGCCAUGUACGUGGAUCCCACUUAUCGGUCUGAGGAUGGGGGAACCAACCUGCCAGUGUCCAAAUGUUUUCAGUCUAACACAUGUGUCAGUGGUUCAAUGGCAGCUCUGAAGUGAAUGAAUUUCAUAAUCAAAUAUGAAGCCAGUGGCUGCGUAAGGACAAAUCUUCUAACCCAUUUGCCCUAUACAGAAAGUGUUGUGCUUGGAGAUGAAGGGAUGUAUUUAAAUAGGAAAUAUCUGCUUCUUGGAAAGCUUAAGGUCUGAAUCAUGCUGUGUUGGUUUGGUUUUUCAGCAGACAAACUACCACAUAGGUUUUUUUGUGGGUGGAGAGGCAGCACUGCCAUCAGAAUUAGCAGCUGGGUUCCUUUCCCAUGAAAGCGAAGUAACAACGCCAAUACACAUUAGGGGCCCAGAGUUACUUGAAAAUACCACUGGCUUGUGCAAAUGGAAACACCUGCACAAAAUCAGGAAUCAGCUGCUCAAGCAACAAGGGACAGAAAAGCCAGUGAGCAGUGACUAGCUCUAAGAAUACACAAGGGACUGUGCUAACUAGAUGGUCACUGGCAGAAGCACAAUCAGCAACCCAAGGAAUCUGAGUGAUAACAAAUAUGUGAGCAGAUAUGCAAAUAUGGAUGGCUUUUUAUUUAAUUAGUUUUUGCACAGGUGCAACUUAGGUGUCUAUGUUUGAAAAUUCGCUCCCUCUCGCUUACCAGUCCAGGAAAAAGGGUUUUUACCAGCUCUGAAGAUCAGCUCAGAGCACAAAACUCAUAAGUGGAUUUCAAAAUACGGCCAAUUUUGAUGGUUAUUUAGAUUUAGGGGUUUGGUUUGACCCAUUAUAAAAGUAGAGAUUAUUUGCAAAAGUCGGAGACAGGUGCAGAGCUUCAUCAUCAUCAAAAUUCAAGGACAUUUGGUUCUGGUACCUGUUAGCGGCUGACGGUGAGACAGCAGAAUGACCUUGCAGGAGCUGGUCUGAUAGUCCACCCUGCUGUGGAAGGUACCUCUCU